CGUGUAUACACACACACACACAAACCACUAUUAACGAGAUCCAACCUUCUGAAAUGUACACACACACCCACACCCCACUAUUAACGAGAUCCAUCCUUCUGAAAUAUGUAAGCGCACACACACACACAGUUGCACACAUAUGCACUACAUCAGUCAGAUUCCACCUGCAUGCACACAUGCUGAGGUGAGCAGGGGCACAGGUGAGAGAGGGCGCAGGUGAGGGCGUUGCCUGGAAAGGAUGCCGGCUCUGCUCUGCUCAUGUGCCAGCUCUACUCAGGGAUCUGUGCUCGGCUGCAGAAAACCCCUGAAGUGAAAUUCCCCUAAUUGCCCCUUAAACUUCAGCAGGUCCUCUCUAAGGUCCUCUCUAAGGUCCUCUCAGAGUGAAAUGAUGAAAAGUCUUCAGGUUUCUCUUCAGUGUUGCUGCUUCCUCGCAUGA